AUCACAAUGGAGGUGCAACAAUGCCAUUAUUUUUACAACCAAUUUUAAAAACAAAAUUAUGGGGCGGUCAACGUCUAAGUGAGUUUGGAUAUCAAUUAGACAAUGAUACAACUGGGGAAUGUUGGUGUGUGUCAGCACAUCCAAAUGGUACGAGCGAGAUUAUUAAUGGACCAUAUCAAGGUCAAACAUUAGACCGUAUUUGGUCAGAACAUCGUGAAUUGUUUGGUGAUUUCCCAAGCAAAGAUUUUCCGCUUCUAACUAAAAUAGUGGAUGCAAGAGAAUCACUUUCUAUUCAUGUGCACCCUGAUAAUUCUUAUGCUUAUGAGCAUGAAAACGGGCAAUAU
rnacentral:sRNA from 1 species